rnacentral:lncRNA from 1 species
AAAGAGUGUCGGGGACGGGAGCGGAGAGACACGGAAAAGGUCAAACUAAAGGCGAGGAGGAGAGGCGGCUGGAGUGGCGGGGGGCCCGGAGCGGGGCUCGAGCCGGCCGCCCCACGGCACUCGGGGCGUCCCCCGGCCAGACGGGCCGGGCCCGGCCCAGCCCCGCUCGCGGGAGGAGCCGGAGCCCCCAUCCCGUCACAGGGCAUCCCGUGUGCUGAAUCACAUUCCUUCCAGCUCCCUCUGGUUGUCAGUGGACAAGCCCAGCUUGACAUUAUUCCAUAUCUUACAUCGACUUCCAUCAGCAACACAACAAAGUACUCCUGCCCAUACUGUCAGCCUGCUAACGUUAGUGGACCAUCCAGAUAUCUAGAAUCAUGCAGGAAAAGGAAUCAAUGGGAUGAAAGGGGGAUUGGUUCCUGAACCAAGGUUUGAUGCACUAUUUUCACCACAAUAACCCAGUUUUUUGUAUUAAAUGAAUUAAAGAUGACUAAUGUUGCAACAUCAAUGUAUUUACUGUACACUGUAUUUUGUAAACAGCAUUCAAAUAAACUUAAACUCACAUAUGCUGCUCA